rnacentral:rRNA from 1 species
UACGGAGGGGCCAGCGUUGCUCGGAAUUACUGGGCGUAAAGGGCUUGUAGGCGGUCUGAUAAGUCCUGUGUGAAAUCCCCUGGCUCAACCAGGGAACUGCGCCGGAUACUGUCGGACUAGAGGCCGGGAGAGGGAAGCGGAAUUCCCAGUGUAGCGGUGAAAUGCGUAGAUAUUGGGAGGAACACCGGUGGCGUAGGCGGCUUCCUGGACCGGUUCUGACGCUGAGGAGCGAAAGCUA